CUCCCUCAAGCUCAUCUUCCAGCGCACUCCUCCCAUUCGUGGAGCUGUCUCCUGCUCCCGCUCAUGGCCGAGCGCCCGGCCAGGGCUCCUCUGCGGGCAGCUGUGUCUCCCUCUCCCUCUCUCUACUCUCUUCCCUGCUGCUUGCUGGUACUUGCCGCGUCGCUCCCUCUCUCUCUUCUUCAAGCCGCCGUCGACCCUGCCCUGGACGCCGGAGUCCCUCUGCCCGUUGCCAUGGCAGCCGUCAGGCCGAGCUCCACCCCUGCUCAUCUUCCCUAUGUCGCGCCCAGCGAGAGCUCCCAUCGCCGUGCCCCUGGCUGCUCUCUGUCAGCCGAGCGUGUGCCCAGCCGAACUCCUCCCUGCACGCGCUCGAAUUUCUUUCCUUCUCCACCGUGCGGCUCUGCUCGCCGUCGGGUCUCUGUAUCCAUGGCGCGGCUCUGCUGAAGCUCCUCUGCUCUUUUUUUUUUAACGCGCGCACGCAGUCCAUUCUUCUUCCCCGCCGUGGAGCCAUCCUUGCCGAGCACCGCUUGCCCAGCCAAGUCUCGCCCAGCUGCCCCUGGUGGCCGUCUUCUCUCCCAGCGCCUAGUCCCUACUCCCUGCGCCGCGGUCUCCUCCAAGCUCGCCGAGCUUCCUUGCGCUCGCGCGCAGCCGCUCCUCUGACCGAACGCCCUCGGCUCAGCUCCUCAGCUCUCCCUGCUCCUCCGAUUCGGUGCCGCGCGCAGUUCCCACGGUGCCCUGUGUCUCUCUCUGGUGUUUCCUCCCUGCGCGUGCGAAAUUUCCUUGCUGGCUGGCGCUUGGUCCAUGUUCCACUGUGCCAUACUGUUUCCCUGCGCGCGUUAAGUUUCCGUGCCGAGUUCGCCUGGGUCGCAAGCCUGUGUGUCCUCGCCAGCUCGCUUCAUGUUUAAUCUCGUCGUCGUCCCACGUGUCAUCAAGAAAUUCCAAGAGUCAAGUGAAGACGGAGCCAGCAACGUGAUAUUCAUCAGAUGCGCGACAAAAAGCUCGGACAUCCUGCGCGACUCAAGUUCAAUUCGUCAAAAUUAUUCAAUCGGGGAAAGAUCUUCAGCAAUUGAUUACCGAAGAAAAGAACCCUGGAUGACGUUAAUCGGAACCCGUAGUCGUGCUUGCGACUAUCGCGUCUAAUUAGUCAGGGUACGUUAAUUGAUCGCGCGAUGCGGAAGACGACCCAAGUCGACCCCAAGCGCGGGCUAAUCUGCAAGCUGAAGCUG
rnacentral:misc_RNA from 1 species